rnacentral:rRNA from 1 species
UGGGGAAUAUUGCACAAUGGGCGCAAGCCUGAUGCAGCCAUGCCGCGUGUAUGAAGAAGGCCUUCGGGUUGUAAAGUACUUUCAGCGGGGAGGAAGGGAGUAAAGUUAAUACCUUUGCUCAUUGACGUUACCCGCAGAAGAAGCACCGGCUAACUCCGUGCCAGCAGCCGCGGUAAUACGGAGGGUGCAAGCGUUAAUCGGAAUUACUGGGCGUAAAGCGCACGCAGGCGGUUUGUUAAGUCAGAUGUGAAAUCCCCGGGCUCAACCUGGGAACUGCAUCUGAUACUGGCAGGCUUGAGUCUCGUAGAGGGGGGUAGAAUUCCAGGUGUAGCGGUGAAAUGCGUAGAGAUCUGGAGGAAUACCGGUGGCGAAGGCGGCCCCCUGGACGAAGACUGACGCUCAGGUGCGAAAGCGUGGGGAGCAAACAGG